rnacentral:rRNA from 1 species
UGGCGAACGGGUGAGUAACACGUGGGUGAUCUGCCCUGCACUCUGGGAUAAGCCUGGGAAACUGGGUCUAAUACCAGAUAGGACCAUGCUUUAGUGUGUGUGGUGGAAAGUUUUUUCGGUGUAGGAUGAGCCCGCGGCCUAUCAGCUUGUUGGUGGGGUAAUGGCCUACCAAGGCGGCGACGGGUAGCCGGACUGAGAGGUUGGUCGGCCACAUUGGGACUGAGAUACGGCCCAG